GAUGAACGCUGGCGGCGUGCCUAAUACAUGCAAGUCGAGCGAACAGACGAGAGUGCUUGCACUCUCUGACGUUAGCGGCGGACGGGUGAGUAACACGUGGGUAACCUACCUAUAAGACUGGGAUAACUUCGGGAAACCGGAGCUAAUACCGGAUAAUAUUUAGCUUCGCAUGAAGCAAUAGUGAAAGACGGUUCUGCUGUCACUUAUAGAUGGACCCGCGGUGUAUUAGCUAGUUGGUGAGGUAACGGCUCACCAAGGCAACGAUACAUAGCCGACCUGAGAGGGUGAUCGGCCACACUGGGACUGAGACACGGCCCAGACUCCUACGGGAGGCAGCAGUAGGGAAUCUUCCGCAAUGGACGAAAGUCUGACGGAGCAAUGCCGCGUGAGUGAAGAAGGUUUUCGGAUCGUAAAACUCUGUUGUAAGGGAAGAACAAGUACGUUAGUAACUGAACGUACCUUGACGGUACCUUACCAGAAAGCCACGGCUAACUGCGUG
rnacentral:rRNA from 1 species